CCUACGGGAGGCAGCAGUGAGGAAUAUUGGACAAUGGGCGCAAGCCUGAUCCAGCCAUGCCGCGUGCAGGAAGAAGCAUCUAUGGUGUGUAAACUGCUUUUGUACAGGAAGAAACACUCCCUCGUGAGGGAGCUUGACGGUACUGUAAGAAUAAGGACCGGCUAACUCCGUGCCAGCAGCCGCGGUAAUACGGAGGGUCCGAGCGUUAUCCGGAAUCAUUGGGUUUAAAGGGUCCGUAGGCGGUUUAAUAAGUCAGUGGUGAAAUCUGGUCGCUCAACGAUCAAACGGCCAUUGAUACCGUUAGACUUGAAUUAUAAGGAAGUAACUAGAAUAUGUAGUGUAGCGGUGAAAUGCUUAGAUAUUACAUGGAAUACCAAUUGCGAAGGCAGGUUACUACUUAUGGAUUGACGCUGAUGGACGAAAGCGUGGGGAGCGAACAGGAUUAGAUACCCUGGUAGUCCACGCCGUAAACGAUGGAUACUAGCUGUUCGGAGCAAUCUGAGUGGCUAAGCGAAAGUGAUAAGUAUCCACCUGGGGAGUACGUUCGCAAGAAUGAAACUCAAAGGAAUUGACGG
rnacentral:rRNA from 1 species